rnacentral:rRNA from 1 species
UACGGGGGGAGCAAGCGUUGUUCGGAUUUACUGGGCGUAAAGGGCGCGUAGGCGGCCAGCACAAGUCAGUUGUGAAAUCUCCGGGCUUAACUCGGAAAGGUCAACUGAUACUGUGCGGCUAGAGUGCAGAAGGGGCAACUGGAAUUCUCGGUGUAGCGGUGAAAUGCGUAGAUAUCAAGUAGAACACCAGUGGCGAAGGCGAGUCCCUGGAAAACUCCUGACACUGAGGCACGAAAGCUAGGGGAGCAAACAGG